rnacentral:rRNA from 1 species
CAGAGGGUGCAAACGUUGCUCGGAAUUACUGGGCGUAAAGCGCGUGUAGGCGGUUCCGCAAGUCAGGUGUGAAAGCCCAGGGCUCGACCCUGGAAGUGCACUUGAUACUACGGAGCUUGAGCACUGAAGAGGAGAGCGGAAUUCCCGGUGUAGAGGUGAAAUUCGUAGAUAUCGGGAGGAACACCAGUGGCGAAGGCGGCUCUCUGGGCAGAUACUGACGCUGAGACGCGAAAGCAUGGGGAGCAAACAGGAUUAGAUACCCUGGUAGUCCAUGCUGUAAACGAUGAGAACUGGGUGUUGUGGGUAUUGACCCCCGCGGUGCCGAAGCCAACGCGUUAAGUUCUCCGCCUGGGAAGUACGGCCGCAAGGCUA